AGUAGAAGUUUCGAUCGUAAAGCUCUUAAUAGGAGACGAGUGCAGGUAAUCCUGCGCUUGACGUACUAACAAUAAGCCGCUACUCGUGCAGCAGCGCGUAAUCGUAGGGUGCAGCGUGAUUCGAUACUGGCGUAAAGCGCUGGCAGCGUUCGUUAGUCGAUGUGAAGCCCGGCUCACUGGGAGGUCAUCGAAACUGGCAACUUGAGUCAGAAGAGGGAGGUGGAAUUCAUGUGUAGCGGUGAAAUGCGUAGAGAUAGGAGGACACAGUGGCGAAGGCGACUCUCUGGUCUGUAACUGACGCUGAGGAGCGAAAGCGUGGGGAGCGAACAGGAUUAGAUACCUGGUAGUCACGCGUAAACGAUGUGUACUAAGCCGUUAGGGUCCUUGAGAUCUUUAGUGCUGCAGCUAACGCAUUAAGCACUCGCCUUGGGAAGUACGCUCGCAAGAUUGAACUUCAAUGGAAUGACGGGGGGCCGCACCAGCGGGUGAGCCAUGUGUUUUAUUUGGAAGCACGCGGAGGACCCUUACCGGCUCUGGCCAUCAUAGAACAUUCCUGAGAAUGAGGGGUUCCUUUCGGAGAUAGAGCGCCAGUUGGGCCAGGGUGUUGUUAGGUUGGGUUGGGGGAAUGUUGGGUUAAUUCCGUCAAGGAGGCCAACCUUGUCUUUUAUUUCCCACCAGUUAUGUGGGCCAUUUAAGGGGGCCUCCGGGGGCCAACCGGAAGAAAGGGGGGAAGGAGUCCAAUUCUCCUUCCCCCUAUGGCCUGGGGUACCCCCCUGGUUCCAAUGGCAGAACCAAGGGGUGGGCGACCCCAAGGGUUAACCAAUUCCCCAAAUCUGUUUUCAAUUCGGAUUGCCGUUUGCAAAUUGGCUGCGUGAAGCUGGAAUCGCUAGUAAUUGCGGAUCAGCAUGCCGCGGUUAAUACGUUUCCGGGCCUUGGUCCCCCCCCCCGUCCCCCCCAGAGAGUUGCAACACCCGAAGUCGGUGAGGUAACCGUAGGAGCCAGCCGCCGAAGGGGGGCAUUG
rnacentral:rRNA from 1 species